GGUGUGGUGGCGUAGUGGGUAAAGCUCCUGCCUGUGACGCUGGCAUCCCACAUGGGCUCUGGUUCAAGUCCAGGAUGCUCCA
rnacentral:tRNA from 1 species